UACGUAGGGUGCAAGCGUUGUCCGGAAUUAUUGGGCGUAAAGAGCUCGUAGGCGGUUCGUCGCGUCGGCUGUGAAAACCCGGAGCUCAACUCCGGGCCUGCAGUCGAUACGGGCGGACUCGAGUUCGGCAGGGGAGACUGGAAUUCCUGGUGUAGCGGUGAAAUGCGCAGAUAUCAGGAGGAACACCGGUGGCGAAGGCGGGUCUCUGGGCCGAUACUGACGCUGAGGAGCGAAAGCGUGGGGAGCGAACA
rnacentral:rRNA from 1 species